UACGUAGGGUGCAAGCGUUAAUCGGAAUUACUGGGCGUAAAGCGUGCGCAGGCGGUUCGCUAAGACAGAUGUGAAAUCCCCGGGCUUAACCUGGGAACUGCAUUUGUGACUGCAUUGCUGGAGUGCGGCAGAGGGGGAUGGAAUUCCGCGUGUAGCAGUGAAAUGCGUAGAUAUGCGGAGGAACACCGAUGGCGAAGGCAAUCCCCUGGGCCUGCACUGACGCUCAUGCACGAAAGCGUGGGGAGCAAACAGG
rnacentral:rRNA from 1 species